UAUGUGAUCGUCUCUCGCAUAUCAAUAAGCGGAGGAAAAGAAACUAACAAGGAUUCCCCUAGUAACGGCGAGUGAAGCGGGAAGAGCUCAAAUUUGAAAUCUUAAAGGGUUUCCCUUUACGAAUUGUAGUUUAAAGGAGUGUUUUCUGUUGAGGUUUUGGUAAAAGUUCUUUGGAAUAGGACAUCAUAGAGGGUGAGAAUCCCGUAUUUGACCUUUACUUUCAACUUUGUGAUACACUUUCAAAGAGUCGGAUUGUUUGGGAAUGCAGUCCAAAAUGGGUGGUAAAUUUCAUCUAAAGUUAAAUAUUGGCGAGAGACCGAUAGCGAACAAGUACCGUGAGGGAAAGAUGAAAAGAACUUUGAAAAGAGAGUUAAACAGUACGUGAAAUUGUCAAAAGGGAAGCGUUUGACACCAGUGUUGUUUUUCUGAAAAUCAAUUAAAGAACUGUUUAUGCUAAGUUGUUUAGACUUUAUCAGCUAAUCUGCUUAGUUUUGAGCUUUUCUUUAAUGCACUUUUCAGUUAACAAGUCAACAUCAAUUUCUUUUGCUGUAAAAAAGCUUGAGGAAGGUGGCUUGAGAUUCGUCUUAAGUGUUUAUAGCCUCUUGCCUAUGCAGUCGGAGAGAUUGAGGUCUGCAGCGUAGAUCCUUCGGGGCUAAAUGCAUUUGUGCUAAGUUAUAGCAUUUUAUAGACAACUUGUUGACUAUGAUUUGUCUUGUAGCUUACUCGCUUAUGUUAUUUUACCUACGCUUAGGAUGUUGAGUAGCGACAUACGCAC
rnacentral:rRNA from 1 species